UACGAAGGGAGCUAGCGUUGUUCGGAAUCACUGGGCGGAAAGCGCACGUAGGCGGAUUUGCCAGUCAGGGGUGAAAUCCCGGGGCUCAACCUCGGAACUGCCUUUGAUACAGCAAGUCUUGAGUUCGAGAGAGGUGGGUGGAAUUCCUAGUGUAGAGGUGAAAUUCGUAGAUAUUAGGAAGAACACCGGUGGCGAAGGCGGCCCACUGGAUCGGUACUGACGCUGAGGUGCGAAAGCGUGGGGAGCAAACAGG
rnacentral:rRNA from 1 species